AAGAAGCACUCUUAUUUAAAAAGGUAACUUAGUUAUCCUAAUUAAUAUCACAUUAUUUUUAGUUAUUAUACUUUUAACUAUUAAUUAUUCAGUUAUUAAUUACACGGCCUUCCAUAAAUCUAAGCAUUAUAAAAAAAGAAUAAAACACAAUAUAAAGAAAUUUAUUCCAAUUGGCUAUCGACCUUCCUUUUCACUAGAC
rnacentral:lncRNA from 1 species